CUCUGGUUCUCUAACAGUGGCUGGUAAUGAAGCCUAAAUAAUAUUAAUGUGUGGGAAUAGGUUGGACUGGAGCUCUCAUCACUAUUGAUGUGGCCAUGGGUCUCAUGGAGAGAGAUUUAUUGUUUGAUGUUAAUAAAAUUGUCAGGAAUCUGUGUGAGCAGUGACAGGGCAUGAUUCAAACCAAAGAUCAGUACAUAUUCUGACUACAAGAUAUUCAUUGUGAAAGUUUAUUUAAGGUGAGUCAGCCUGAGUCUUGAAGUAGACAUAUCUGACUACGAUCUUCAAUGUACUGCAAGCAUUGACUUAAACUGAAGGGUUAUACAAAAAUGGCCUGUGCUACGCCAGAAACAAAAAACCACUAAAAAACCACUCUUUAGAAGUGGCCAAAAUAUGUGGUAACACAGCAGCACUAUACCCCGAGAAAAGGGUAAUUGAAAUAAACCAAGUUACACUACUAAUCACAGAGAGUUGUAAAAAAAAAUCACCUGCAUUAAAUAAGAAAAACGAAAGUGGUCAAACCUAAGACUGAGCGACCUAGAAUGACUUAAUUUUCCCACGGAACGCUUAAAUAAUCUUCAACGUGCCGUCAGAAUAUUAAUAUAUUAAUU